AGACGUAGGGGGCUAGCGUUGUCCGGAAUCACUGGGCGUAAAGAGCUCGUAGGCGGUCUGUUAAGUCGGGUGUGAAAGCCCUCGGCUCAACCGAGGAAUUGCACUCGAUACUGGCAGGCUAGAGUCAAGCAGAGGGAAGUGGAAUUCCCGGUGUAGCGGUGAAAUGCGCAGAUAUCGGGAAGAACACCGGUGGCGAAGGCGGCUUCCUGGGCUUGUACUGACGCUGAGGAGCGAAAGCUAGGGGAGCGAACAGGAUUAGAUACCCUGGUAGUCCUAGCCGUAAACGAUGGGCACUAGGUGUGGGGGGUUACCAAAUCCCUCCGUGCCGAAGCUAACGCAUUAAGUGCCCCGCCUGGGGAGUACGGCCGCAAGGCUAAA
rnacentral:rRNA from 1 species